rnacentral:rRNA from 1 species
UAGUCCACGCCGUAAACGAUGUCUACUAGCCGUUGGGGUACUUGAGACCUUAGUGGCGCAGCUAACGCACUAAGUAGACCGCCUGGGGAGUACGGCCGCAAGGUUAAAACUCAAAUGAAUUGACGGGGCCCGCACAAGCGGUGGAGCAUGUGGUUUAAUUCGAUGAUACGCGAGGAACCUUACCAGGGCUUAAAUGCAUUUUGACAGGGCUGGAAACAGCUUUUUCUUCGGACAAUUUGCAAGGUGCUGCAUGGUUGUCGUCAGCUCGUGCUGUGAAGUGUCGGGUUAAGUCCCAUAACGAGCGCAACCCCUAUCUUCAGUUGCCAGCGGGUAAUGCCGGGGACUCUGGAGAAACUGCCACCGUAAGGUGAGAGGAAGGUGGGGAUGACGUCAAAUCAUCACGGCCCUUACGUCCUGGGGCUACACACGUGCUACAAUGGGCAGGGUACAGAGGGGCAGCCACCCCGCGAGGGGGAGCGGAAUC